rnacentral:rRNA from 1 species
UACAGAGGGUGCAAGCGUUGUUCGGAAUUAUUGGGCGUAAAGAGCUCGUAGGCGGUUUGUCGCGUCUGCUGUGAAAAUCCGGGGCUCAACCCCGGACUUGCAGUGGGUACGGGCAGACUAGAGUGUGGUAGGGGAGACUGGAAUUCCUGGUGUAGCGGUGGAAUGCGCAGAUAUCAGGAGGAACACCGGUGGCGAAGGCGGGUCUCUGGGCCGUUACUGACGCUGAGGAGCGAAAGCGUGGGGAGCGAACAGG